UAGCAGCAGCAUUCCUGAGAGCCAGAA
rnacentral:piRNA from 1 species